AAAAAACGUUCCGUCUGGUGAAGAUGAACUCAAAAGCUCGCCUGCGAGGGUGCGGAUUAAUUUUUCUGCGUUAACAUACCGAGUCCUCCGGACUCAGCCCGCCGCUAAAUAUACUUCAAACUUUUAUCGUCUGAAUCUUUUUGUUGUUCUUUUUGAACUCCAAUACGAAUUAUUAAA
rnacentral:misc_RNA from 1 species